rnacentral:rRNA from 1 species
UACCCGAGGCCCGAGGGGUGCUCAUAUUUAUUGAGCAUAAAGCGUCCGUAGCUGGCCGGCAAAUCCCCGGGGAAAUCGGGCGGCUCAACCGCCCCAAUUCCGGAGACACUGCUCGGCUUGAGAUCGGGAGAGGGAGAAGGUACUCCCUGGGUAGGGGUAAAAUCCUGUAAUCCGGGGGGGACCACCAGUGGCGAAGGCGUUCUCCUAGAACGAAUCUGACAGUGAGGGACGAAGCCCUAGGGCGCAAACGGG